rnacentral:rRNA from 1 species
GAUGAACGCUGGCGGCGUGCCUAAUACAUGCAAGUCGAGCGAACAGACGAGGAGCUUGCUCCUCUGACGUUAGCGGCGGACGGGUGAGUAACACGUGGAUAACCUACCUAUAAGACUGGGAUAACUUCGGGAAACCGGAGCUAAUACCGGAUAAUAUAUUGAACCGCAUGGUUCAAUAGUGAAAGACGGUUUUGCUGUCACUUAUAGAUGGAUCCGCGCCGCAUUAGCUAGUUGGUAAGGUAACGGCUUACCAAGGCAACGAUGCGUAGCCGACCUGAGAGGGGGAUCGGCCACACUGGAACUGAGACACGGUCCAGACUCCUACGGGAGGCAGCAGUAGGGAAUCUUCCGCAAAGGGCGAAAGCCUGACGGAGCAACGCCGCGUGAGUUAUGAAGGUCUUCGGAUCGUAAAACUCUGUUAUUAGGGAAGAACAAAUGUGUAAGUAACUAUGCACGUCUUGACGGUACCUAAUCAGAAAGCCACGGCUAACUCCGUG